UACAGAGGUCUCGAGCGUUAGGCGGAAUCACUGGGCUUAAAGCGUGUGUAGGUGGAUGCCUAAGUACCUUGUGAAAUCCCACAGCUUAACUGUGGAACUGCUUGGUAUACUGGGUGUCUUGAGUCACUCAGGGGCGAGCGGAACAAAUGGUGGAGCGGUGAAAUGCGUAGAUAUCAUUUGGAACGCCAAUGGUGAAAACAGCUCGCUGGGGAUGUACUGACACUGAGACACGAAAGCCAGGGGAGCGAACGGG
rnacentral:rRNA from 1 species